AGCAGCCGCGGUAAUUCCAGCUCCAAUAGCGUAUAUUAAAGUUGUUGCAGUUAAAAAGCUCGUAGUUGAAUUUCGGGAUUAGUAAGUUGGUCGUGCCUCUGGUGUGUACUGGCUUUACUGGUUCCUCCUUCUUGAAGAACUGUAAUGUCAUUAAUUUGGUGUUGCAGGGAAACAGGACUGUUACUUUGAAAAAAUUAGAGUGUUUAAAGCAGGCUAACGCUUGAAUACAUUAGCAUGGAAUAAUGAAAUAGGACGUUUGAUCCUAUUUUGCUGGUUUCUAGGAUUGACGUAAUGAUUAAUAGGGAUAGUUGGGGGCAUUAGUAUUCAAUUGUCAGAGGUGAAAUUCUUGGAUUUAUUGAAGACUAACUACUGCGAAAGCAUUUGCCAAGGAUGUUUUCAUUAAUCAAGAACGAAAGUUAGGGGAUCGAAGACGAUCAGAUACCGUCGUAGUCUUAACCAUAAACUAUGCCGACUAGGGAUCGGAUGAUGUUAAUUUUUUAAUGACUCAUUCGGCGCCUUA
rnacentral:rRNA from 1 species